AACUAGGGAUUUUCGUAUUAUGUCAACACUUGUUGAAGUCAUUACAAAUCAAAUUAUAAUAGACGUGGUUCCGUGUUCGACUUUUUAAAAACUUAAUUUUUGGCGUUUCUCAGAUUGUAAAAAGUACAGUUAUAUUUCCUAGUGGAAGAUGUCUGGUGAUGUUCAAGCAAGGAAACGGAGAGAGAAAAAACGUAAAAAGGAUGAAGAAGAUAACAUUAUACCAUCACCUACAGUGGGAAAUGCUAGUGAAAAUUUAACAGACAAUGUAACUAUACAUAUUUAUAAAGAAAGUACUACAGGUGGACACUGGUGUGCUCGAAUCAUAUUCUUUACUGUCUUAACAAUGCUUGUUGGCUUAAUCGGUGUAGUUAUUAUUGAGCACAGAGGUACUACAGACAUUAGUACACCAUUAGAGUCUUCUCGUUGGGCCUUUAUCUUUGAUGGGUGGGUAGAUGAUUCUUUAUCUCUAUCUAAUGAAGAAUCACAUGAUAAUGAAAAUGAAAAAACUAAACAAAUAGAAGAUGAAAGGAGGUAUAAUGAAGACGAUGAAAAGUUAGAAACUACAGAAACUGAAAUUGAAUCUGAAAUUGCAACUGAAACUGAAACUGAUACAGAAACUGAAACUGGAGAAGUUCAGGAUGAUGAAAUGUUGAAUGAAUCUACAGAAGAAGAAGAAGAAGAAAAAGAAGAAGAAGAAGAAGAAGAAGUAAAGAAAGAAGAAGAAGAAGAAGAAGAAGAACAAGAAGAAGAAGGAGAAGAGGAAGACCAGGAAACUGCAAUUGAAAAUGAAUCAAAUGAAGAAGAAAGUGAAAUUUUUCCAAAUAAAGAAGAUAUCAAUACAGAAUUAAGCCGCGAGAGUAAAUAUGAAAACAGGAAGCACACAGAAGUUACAUUAGAAGAUGAUGAUAUUAGUUCAACGUUUGAUGAUACUAAUGUAUUAGAAGAAAUAUAUGGUAUUAGUACAGAGAAAGACUCGGAUGAAAAAUCUGUUUUAAAUGAAGUAGAUAACCAAUUUGAUAAAAUAUUAGAAAUGCCAAGAAAUGAAGACAUAUUUGAGACAUUUUUAGACGACAUUCCUGGUGUUAAGGAAAUUAAUGAUGACAAUAUAGAACCUUUAGAAGAGGUAGAAAACACAGAACCAGAAGAAUAUGUUAAUGAUGUAGAUGUAAAGCCAGAAAUAGAAGAAAUAGAAGAAGAAUCUACUAGUGUGGCAAUGAAGUUUGGAGUCGGUGUGGCACUUAUUGUCGCUGCACAUUUUGUCCUUGUGAAACGAUGGAAUAACGGAAAGCAUGAAAAAGAAGUGCAAGAGAAAAGUGGAAAAAUAGAAAUAAAGAAAUAUAAGCGCGGAGAAGAAGAGGGUAAAAAGACAGGACAACAGGUUGUUGUGCAAAAAGAUACUGAGUUCGAGAAAGAAGAAGAAAGGGAAGGAGUAGAAGAGGAACAAGAGGAGGGGGAUGAGAGAGAUGUAGAGGAAGGGGUAGGAGAAGAAGAAGGGGAAGAGGAAGGAGAAGUAAUGAACAAACGGAAUCAAGAUGACAUAGAAGAAAAAAAGAAAGGAGUAUUAGGAACACGAGAAGGAAAAGAGGGGAAUCAAAAUAUAAGAUGGAAUGAAAUAAAAAACAAAAAAAAUAAGAGCAAUACGGAUGAAAUAGGAAUUGUGCAAAAGACAAUGUUAAAAGAAGGAGAACGGACAGAAGAAGAAGAGGAUGAAGGAGAAGAAGAAGAAGAAGUAGAAGAAGAAGAAGAAGAAGAAGAAGUAGAAGAAGAAGAGGAGGAGGAGGAGGAAGAGGGAGAAGAGGAGGAGGGAGAAGAGGAAGAGGGAGAAGAGGAAGAGGAAGAAGAAAAGGAUGAAGGAGAAGAAGAAGAGGAGGAAAUCGAAAAUUUUGACGAUACUGAGUUAAUUGCGAAACUUGAAGCUAAAUAUGGAAAAUUACAAACUUUACAAAAUGAUAAUGAAGAAGAUAGUGAGCAUGAAAAAGAAGUAACAAACAACAGUUUAGUAACGUGGAAGCAAAAACAAUAAAUAAUCUACUGAAUUGUACGUAUAUCCAAUGUGAGAAACAUUUUUAGAAUUUAUUGAAAUUGCAGAAUUUAUAUUUAUAUAAGCAAGUUACCAUAUUUAAUAAAUGAAAUAUUACUGUAUAAUGAAUAAUAAAUUAGACGAGCAUGGAGGAUCUUACAUAAAUAAUUUUGUACAAUCCUAAGUGAAGAAAUUUCCUAUAUACUUUAAUAGUCAGUUAAUCAUGUAAUCUUUUGGCUUAUACAUACAUGAAUGAAUAUUAAUGUAAUUAUGAAUACUUAUAUAUUUUACUAGUAAUAUUUAUUAAAAUAUUCAAUAUCGAUAUUGAUGACAUUUUUUAGGUUUGUAAAGCAGACACAAGUAAUGGCUAAAACACAACCGUUUAAUUAUGGUAACUUAAGUUUAAGAGAUAAAAUUACCUUUAAAAAUUUUAUCUUUGUAAUAUUAUAUUGGAAGUUGAUAUCCAAAUAAAUAAGAGUUCUAAAUAAAUUUCGUAUAGUUAUUUAAAAGAAAUUAGUGUAAUGUACAUAUCAAUAAACAAAAGUAAGAUAAGGAUCAAAAUUUUCUUCCAGUAUUCCACUCUCAAGAGAUGUAAAAAUAAAAUAUUAAUGUCUUAAAUUUAAUUUGACCAAAAUAAAUGAACAAUACCCUUAAACGUUGUUCAGAAAGAAGGUAGUCCAAUUAUUAGUUUAUAAUUUAAGCUUCAAACGGAUAUUUAAUGAAAAACAUCUAUGAUGGAAAUAGUUUAUUUAUGAAAAUAUUAUGUACAUACAUGCAUACGUAAAAAGCAACUGAAUAUGGAAUUUAGGAAAGGUCAAGUUGAUUUAAGGAACCGAAAUCAAAAGAGAUAAAAUUACCUUUAAAAAUUUUAUCUUUGUAAUAUUUUAUUGGAAGUUGAUAUCUAAAUGAAUAAGAAUUCUAAAUAAAUUUCGUAUAGUUAUUUAAAAGAAAUUAAUGUAAUGUACAUAUCAAUAAACAAAAGUAAGAUAAG